rnacentral:tRNA from 1 species
AACCUGGUGGUGCAGUGGUAAGCACCUCUCCGAAAAGAGGAGAUUUCCUGGGUUCAACUCCCAGUCAGGUUG